AGUGAAAUAAUGUGGAACAUUCUUUUCUGGUUGUUUUGGUUGUUGCAAGGAGACAUUGGGCAUUGCAAUGAAUGGAUGACAUUGUGUGUUGCUGGCAAACCUACACCAUGUGCAUUUUCUUGGUGGAUAUGUUGGGCAAAUGUACAAUAUCACGAGGGAUAUCUUGGGCAAAUAUCUUGUAUAAAUUGGUACGAUUACUAAAGAAGGAUGAUAUUGUAAGGUUAGUGGAUAUUUAUAAUAGUGAUAAAAUGGGGGUUCCCUGUGAAUAGGAACAAAGUAAGGCUGCCCAAUUAAGUGGAAACAAUAUUGCGGAGUGUAACAAUCUAACAAUAUGACGGACUGAUUAAUCUGUAAAAAUGAUGCAUGUUUAGAAAAGCAAAAAAUGCAGCAUAAAUAUAUCAUGAAACAGGCUUCUUACAACUACAUGCUAUGCUUAUAGGAAUUUGAAUAAGUUUUUAGUAGGCAUGAAUUGGGAUUUUUGUUUUAUUUUCAUUUAUGAUUUUCUAUAAAUGCCCCAACUAGUUUAUAUGUAAUACCGUAAUGUAUAAUAUAUAGAUUGUAAAUUUUUUGAUAUAGAAAAUAAUAGAGUUCUUAUAGUGUAUAUGUAUCUAACAGUGUUGUAGUCGAGUCCACAACUUACGAGUACGAGUCCAAGUCCCUAGCAAAAUUUCAAGUCUAAACUUUUCAAGUCCGAGUCCUAAAUAUUUCGAGUCCGAGUCCAAGUCCGAAAUGAUAAAGUAUAUGUAUAAUCAUAUUUCCACAAUCCACAGGCACUUGCAUUUUUGCAGAAGUCACAAUGUAAUCAAAGUAAUAUGGUGGUGGCAAACAGGCAGUGGCGUAUAGGCGAGGGGGCGACCACUGCCCAAUCGCCACAAAAACCUUUUUCUCAAAAAGGCUAAAUCUGUAGAGAAAUUGGGGGGAGGGGGUACACAUUACAUGCUCAAAACUGACUAAGUACAAAGUUGAAACGCAAUUUCAAGAACACAGAAAUGUUGUCUCAUUAAACCUGGAAUUAUUUAAAUGCAACAUUUCUGAUCAAAUUCGCAUUGGGAUUCUCCCCCUCCCCCAAUAUCACUGACACUGACCCCUCCUCCUCCUGUUUUUCAAGGUGACCUUUCCAAUUAAUUUAAUUCCGAGGAGAAAUAUUUGUCUGGGAAAAUUCAUGUGGUUGAUCUACUUUAGUUAAUAUAAUCUUCGGAAUCCUGCAAAAAAAAUUUAAAAAAAAAUGCUUGAAAUCGCAUUUCAGGGACUCUGGAUUUCAAAAUGUUUCUGAUGGUGUAUGUUCCCUGUACCCCACAAAGCACUCUUACGCCUUCAGCGUUCACGUCACCCUCCAAAACUCAAUUUUGAAUUUAAAACAUGCAUGUACAGUGCAUAGCAGUAUAAGGCCCUACAUUACAUGCAUGUGUCCGAAUAAAAUAAAUGGGAUAACACUUAAAUAUAUUUUUCUAUAUCCAACGAAAAAGCAUUGAUAAUCAUGUGAUCACCACCUCUCUUAUUUGGUCAGCGAGUUAUUACAUGUGCCGAAUUUUGUCGCAAAAACAAAUCACGUAGUGUUUCCAUGGUAUAUGUUCUUGCCGCGAAAACAUCGAGGAAAUUUAAGUGGUGGACUCGUACAGGACUUGACCUAAAUUCCACAAGUGUCAAGUCCGAGUUCUUUGAUAUCGAGUCCAAGUCCGAUGUGUUCAAGUCCGAGUCAUGCCCUCAAGUCCCGACUCGAGUCCAAGUCCAGACUCGAGUACUACAACACUGGUAUCUAAUACAACUACAUGCUGUGUUGGGUUGUUUGGGUUCAAUAAGUUUUUAGUAGGCAUGAUUUAGGAUUAUUGUUUUUAUUUAUGAUUUCUAUAAAUUGGAUCCCCAAGUCAACUAAUUUGCAACAUAAUAAUGUCCAAUACAGUAUUAGGUUGUAAAAUUUAUAAUUGGUGUGUGACAAGUGAGGCUGAAGCAAGCAGGCAAGGUAGCAUUCUAAUGUGUACAGACAGGGGGUUUUGAAGUAAAUUGUAUUUACAGUAUGGCAUUCUUGUCAUGCUUGCUAUUCACAGAACACACUUGGUGCUAUGCACAUAUUAACAGUGUCCCACAGCAGUAUGCAUUAUAAGUCGUCCAUCAGGAAAAUAUAAUAUUUCACAAAGUAAAAAUUCUUUGGUAUUAUUAGAUAUAAAUAUAUAAUUUCUUGUAACGUUUGUGACAAUAUUGCGUUCUUUAAUAACAUAUAGCAUAAUUUGUCUAUUGAAAUCUGAGGGGUAAAAAAAAAUACAUGUGGUUUCAGUUCCCGACUGACUCUAUUUUUUUCUGCCGACCCUACUAUUUUUUCGACGAGAUUGACUGUGCGACCCUAUUUUCUCCAGAUGGUUACGGGCUGCAGUACAGCAUGCCAAAAUGGCAUCUGUUAUCUCACUAAUUAUUGAACUAAAUUGCCUAAAUUCGUCCAUAAGAAAUACACGUCUCUAGUUAAUAUUGAUGUCGGGACCCUACUGCAAAUCUCUCGGCAAGAAACCACCAAGACCAUGAAAAAAAAUAUUUAAAAAAAAAUUAUUUCCGACCCUAAUUUUUUCCACAAUCUGAAACUGGAACCACAGGUAUUUUUUACGCCUUGACAUCAUUCUGCACACAAUGAAGUAUUCACGACAAAGAAAAUAUAGAAGCAUUAAAUAUUUUCUGCAUUAUUUCUCAAUCCUUGCUCAACGACAAAAACAUACUUAAUUUUGUAAUAUAGGAAAAAAUAGAGUUUCUGUCAUAUACUGUUUGAUAGGAAUUUGAAGUUUAGUAGGCAUGAUUUAGGAUUUUUGUCUCUAUUAAUGAUUUUCUAUAAAUGGGGUGCUUAAAAAAUAUGUUAUGAAUUUAGUUGAGAUAUGUUAUGAGUUUAUGAUAUCAUAAGUGACAGUGUCACCACAGCAGUAUAAAAAACAAUUAUUGUGGGCUCUAUUUUACAAAUACCAUAUAAAUAUACAAUAAUAUAACUUAAUUUACACUCUAUUUUACAAAUACUAUAUAAAUAUACAAUAACACAACUUUAUUUAUGAGAAUAAAUACAGCUAUAUCAGGAACAACGAGAGAGUGGAGUAAAGCAAGACUACGAGAAGUGUUGCAUUUCAAACAGAUUGAUUUCCAAGCCCGAGGAUUUUCAGAUUCAUAGUUUAUAUUGAUAGCAGUAAUGUAAUUUAUCUUAUCACAUACAGUUGUAAAAUUUGUAAUGUUUCUCCGGGAGCAGGGGGUUAGACACUGGGAACGAGAAUGGGCUCAUAUUCAUUUAUAAGAGCUUUUGUUGGGCAUAUAGGCAGGGGGAACUCAUAUACAGGGGGGAGGGGGUAUUCAAAUGUUACAUAUCAAAAUCUAAGUUAGCCCUUUAGAAAUACAAUAAAACCUAUUUGAGUGUAAUAGCUUUUGUAGUUUUUAUGUUACAUUAAAUCAAACAGCACAAGUUUUUUGGGACACCCGGGAUACAUUUCUACCAGUCUUACUUUGUAAAGCGAUGAUUGGGCUAAGAAUAUUUCAAUAUGUCAUUGCUGUUGAAAUGACUUAGUUCAUCACUAAUAAUACUGAAGCUUGUGUUGCUGAUAAUAUACCAUCUAGCAUAUAUUUUUAUUUCAAUGUUUGCGAUGUGACCAUUGCAUAUGGCUGUCAAAAACGUCAAGAUUUAGACUAUUGUUUCUAAAACAUUGUGCAUUUGUGCAGCUCGCGCCUAAGUAUUGUUGUGGAUUUUAGAACUCGUACAUUUUGUUUGAAAAAAGAUUUUUACACAGUAUCAUGCCUGUUCGUAUUUUGAAGUUCCUUGAGUUACACCUGAUACUGCAUGCAUAUAUAUAUAUAUAUACAAAGAAUGUAACCGGGGGGGGGGAUAAAACCCUAGUAGGGAACCACCUCCGUGCUUGAUUUGCACAGUGCAACUCAAGUUGUAAGCAUGUUGUAUGGGACCAGCUGAUGCAAAUGACCAACAUUUUUCAAGUGAUGUUUUUUAUCACUUGAAAGUAAUUACUUUCAAUUAAAAGAAUGGGUUUGGACAAUUUUCAGAAAGUUUGGAGUAGGUUUGUGCACUUCUAGAAUUUUUCAAAAAUAUACCACGUUCCUCCCUUUUGAUUUGACCAAAAUAUUGCAAUUCAUGUUUUUAUCAUUUGGAAGUAAUUGUUUUGAUUAAGGGAACAGUUUUUGAGCAAUUUUCAGAAGGUUCACAUUAUUUUCCUAGUUAUAGACUUGUAAUUGUGUGACAUAACUUCUAGUUAUAGUUUGUGUUCUUCUAGCCAUCCUUGAACUUUUGUUCAAGCCUAGUGACUUAUUUCAGUACAUGAAAAUCAUCCCACCUUUCAUCCUGUCCCUUAGCCAUUAAGUUGAUGUGCACCCUAAUUUACCUACUUAUAUUGUUUAAUUCUGUCUAACGUCAGACAAUUUUAGUAAGCAGGGGUCCACUAAGCAGUUAAUGGGUAACUAGACACAUGGGCAGUCUCAUUAUGAAGCAUAAAAUUGUCUGGCAUUGGACAGUAAAAUACUCUCAAGUAGACAAUGCAUCAGGGCACAGUACAACGGUUUAAUUUGUUUUUUUGUAGCAAAAGUUUUAUAUCUGAAUUAAUUAUUGAUUUUUUGCAUUGUUUUACAGAUCAUUGCUGAACAUGCUAUGAAAUAUUGAUUUAUAAAAUAUUGUGUUACCAAGAUGACAUGCCUCAAGACCAUACCUCUAUUUCUGAUCAAAUACAACAAUACACCAAAGACAGUAGUUAUGAUCAUGAAGCUAUGAAGUUAAAGAAAAUGUACCAAACGACAAAGACAAUGAUGAUGAAAUUGGAUGCCUUGGAAGAAAUGAAAUGAAAGGAUUGAAUGUCAUGGUCAGCAGUGGAUAUUUGUGACUAUACUAAAUGGCUACAAAGAAACUAUGAUGGAUAUACAAAAGAUGACAGAUAUGUCUAGUUUCAGGUACUGUUCUUUCUUGUUUGCCUGCGAACAGGCUGUAGAUAUGUAGAUAUUGUACCCAGGCCAUUGUUUGUUUUGUUGUUUUGGAUACAAUGAAAUCCGGCAUAAAUCCUGGCGGUAUAAAUGUUUAGUAUAUUUACACAUUCGAUCUAUUUUCUGUUCAGUAGACUUUGACAGCUUGAAUGAAAGUUUACGAUGAUUUUCUUUACAAAACCUGUACUUUCGGAAUUCAUCAGCUUCUGAAUUUGAAAACGGAUCUGAAAAGAGAACAUUUGAGUGUAUGGUUAUUGCAUGG
rnacentral:lncRNA from 1 species